rnacentral:tRNA from 1 species
GGGAAUAUAGCUCAGUUGGUAGAGUGCUUGCCUUGCAUGCACAAAGCCCUGGGUUCAAUCCCCGGCGCUUGCG